UAGGGAAUCUUCGGCAAUGGACGAAAGUCUGACCGAGCAACGCCGCGUGAGUGAAGAAGGUUUUCGGAUCGUAAAACUCUGUUGGUAGAGAAGAACGUUGGUGAGAGUGGAAAGCUCAUCAAGUGACGGUAACUACCCAGAAAGGAACGGCUAACUACGUGCCAG
rnacentral:rRNA from 1 species